rnacentral:tRNA from 2 species
GGGCGCGUAGCUCAGCGGGAGAGCACUGCCUUCACACGGCAGGGGUCCCUGGUUCGAUCCCAGGCGCGCCCACCA